GGUGUUGGUGUGUGAAGUGAGACAGAGUUCACUGGUGUUGGUCUGUGAAGAGAGAGAGUUCACUGGUGUUGGUGUGUGAAGAGAGAGAGUUCACUGGUGUUGGUGUGUGAAGAGAGAGAGUUCACUGGUGUUGGUGUGUGAAGGGAGACAGAGUUCACUGGUGUUGGUGUGUGAAGAGAGAGAGUUCACUGGUGUUGGUGUGUGAAGGGAGACAGAGUUCACUGGUGUUGGUGUGUGAAGAGAGAGAGUUCACUGGUGUUGGUGUGUGAAUGGAGACAGAGUUCACUGGUGUUGGUGUGUGAAGCGAGAGAGCUCACUGGUGUUGGUGUGUGAAGGGAGACAGAGUUCACUGGUGUUGGUGUGUGAAGAGAGACAGAGUUCACUGGUGUUGGUCUGUGAAGAGAGAGAGAGUUCACUGGUGUUGGUGUGUGAAGGGAGACAGAGUUCACUGGUGUUGGUGUGUGACGACAGAGAGUUCACUGGUGUUGGUGUGUCAAGGGAGACAGAGUUCACUGGUGUUGGUGUGUGAAGAGAGCGAGUUCACUGGUGUUGGUGUGUGAAGAGAGAGAGUUCACUGGUGUUGGUGUGUGAAGAGAGACAGAGUUCACUGGUGUUGGUGUGUGAAGAGAGAGAGAGUUCACUGGUGUUGGUGUGUGAAGAGAGAGAGUUCACUGGUGUUGUUGUGUGAAGAGAGAGACUUCACUGGUGUUGGUGUGUGAAGAGAGAGAGAGUUCACUGGUGUUGGUGUGUGAAGAGAGAGAGUUCACUGGUGUUGUUGUGUGAAGAGAGACAGUUCACUGGUGUUGGUGUGUGAAGGGAGACAGAGUUCACUGGUGUUGGUGUGUGAAGAGAGCGAGUUCACUGGUGUUGGUGUGUGAAGAGAGAGAGUUCACUGGUGUUGGUGUGUGAAGAGAGACAGAGUUCACUGGUGUUGGUGUGUGAAGAGAGAGAGAGUUCACUGGUGUUGGUGUGUGAAGAGAGAGAGUUCACUGGUGUUGUUGUGUGAAGAGAGAGACUUCACUGGUGUUGGUGUGUGAAGAGAGAGAGAGUUCACUGGUGUUGGUGUGUGAAGAGAGAGAGUUCACUGGUGUUGUUGUGUGAAGAGAGACAGUUCACUGGUGUUGGUGUGUGAAGGGAGACAGACUUCACUGGUGUUGGUGUGUGAAGAGAGAGAGUUCACUGGUGUUGGUGUGUGAAGAGAGACAGUUCACUGGUGUUGGUGUGUGAAGGGAGACAGACUUCACUCGUGUUGGUGUGUGAAGAGAGAGAGAGUUCACUGGUGUUGGUGUGUGAAGAGAGAGAGAGUUCACUGGUGUUGGUGUGUGAAGAGAGAGAGUUCACUGGUGUUGGUGUGUGAAGAGAGAGAGUUCACUGGUGUUGGUGUGUGAAGAGAGAGAGUUCACUGGUGUUGGUGUGUGAAGUGAGACAGAGUUCACUGGUGUUGGUCUGUGAAGAGAGAGAGAGUUCACUGGUGUUGGUGUGUGAAGGGAGAGAGUUCACUGGUGUUGUUGUGUGAAGAGAGAGAGUUCACUGGUGUUGGUGUGUGAAGAGAGAGAGAGUUCACUGGUGUUGGUGUGUGAAGAGAGAGAGUUCACUGGUGUUGUUGUGUGAAGAGAGACAGUUCACUGGUGUUGGUGUGUGAAGGGAGACAGACUUCACUGGUGUUGGUGUGUGAAGAGAGAGAGUUCACUGGUGUUGGUCUGUGAAGAGAGAGAGAGUUCACUGGUGUUGGUGUGUGAAGAGAGAGAGUUCACUGGUGUUGGUGUGUGAAGAGAGAGAGUUCACUGGUGUUGGUCUGUGAAGAGAGAGAGUUCACUGGUGUUGGUGUGUGAAGAGAGAGAGAGUUCACUGGUGUUGGUGUGUGAAGAGAGAGAGUUCACUAGUGUUGGUGUGUGAAGAGAGAGAGUUCACUGGUGUUGGUGUGUGAAGAGAGAGAGUUCACUGGUGUUGGUGUGUGAAGAGAGAGAGUUCACUGGUGUUGGUCUGUGAAGAGAGAGAGUUCACUGGUGUUGGUGUGUGAAGAGAGAGAGAGUUCACUGGUGUUGGUGUGUG
rnacentral:lncRNA from 1 species